rnacentral:rRNA from 1 species
GACGAACGCUGGCGGCGUGCUUAACACAUGCAAGUCGAACGGAAAGGCCCUGCAUUUGUGGGGUGCUCGAGUGGCGAACGGGUGAGUAACACGUGAGUAACCUGCCCUUGACUUUGGGAUAACUUCAGGAAACUGGGGCUAAUACCGGAUAGGAGCUCCUGCUGCAUGGUGGGGGUUGGAAAGUUUCGGCGGUUGGGGAUGGACUCGCGGCUUAUCAGCUUGUUGGUGGGGUAGUGGCUUACCAAGGCUUUGACGGGUAGCCGGCCUGAGAGGGUGACCGGCCACAUAGGGACUGAGAUACGGCCCAGACUCCUACGGGAGGCAGCAGUGGAGAAUAUUGCACAAUGGACGGAAGCCGGGUGCAGCAGCUCCGCGUGCGGGAUGACGGCCUUCGGGUUGUAAACCGCUUUCGCCUGUGACGAAGCGUGAGUGACGGUAAUGGGUAAAGAAGCACCGGCUAACUACGUG